rnacentral:rRNA from 1 species
UAAUACGUAGGGGGCUAGCGUUGUCCGGAUUUACUGGGCGUAAAGGGAGCGCAGGUGGCUGAGUUCGUCGGUGGUGCAAGCUCCAGGCUUAACUUGGAGAGGUCUACCGAUACUGCUCGGCUUGAGGACGGUAGAGGAGCACGGAAUUCCUGGUGUAGUGGUGAAAUGCGUAGAUAUCAGGAGGAACACCAGUGGCGAAAGCGGUGCUCUGGGCCGUUUCUGACACUCAGGCUCGAAAGCGUGGGGAGCAAACAGGAUUAGAUACCCUGGUAGUCCACGCCCUAAACGAUGAAUGCUGGAUAUAGGGGGUAUCGACCCCUCCUGUGUCGAAGCUUACGCGUUAAGCAUUCCGCCUGGGAACUACGGCCGCAAGGCUA